AUUGAACGCUGGCGGCAGGCCUAACACAUGCAAGUCGAACGAGUGGCGGACGGGUGAGUCAUGUCUGGGAAACUGCCCGAUGGAGGGGGAUAACUACUGGAAACGGUAGCUAAUACCGCAUACCAUCGGAUGUGCCCAGAUGGGAUUGGCUAGUGGGUGGGGUAACGGCUCACCUAGGGGACGAUCCCUAGCUGGUCUGAGAGGAUGACCAGGCACACGGGAACUGAGACACGGUCCAGACGCCUACGGGAGGCAGCAGUGGGGAAUAUUGCACAAGGGGCGCAAGCCUGAUGCAGCCAUGCCGCGUGUAUGAAGAAGGGCAUCGGGUUGUAAAGUACUUUCAGCGAGGAGGCGUUACUCGCAGAAGAAGCACCGGCUAACUCCGGGCCAGCAGCCGCGGUAAUUC
rnacentral:rRNA from 1 species